rnacentral:rRNA from 1 species
UACGGAGGGUGCAAGCGUUAUCCGGAUUUACUGGGUUUAAAGGGUGUGUAGGCGGUAUUUAAGGUCAGUGGUGAAAUCUCCGACGCUCAACUUGGAAACAUGCCUUGAUAUAUUUACUUGUAAUUUGAUUUGUGGUGAGGCGGAAUAAGUCAUGUAGCGGUGAAAUGCAUAGAUAUGACUUAGAACACCAAUUGCGAAGGCAGCUUGCUAAACAAAUAUUGACGCUGAGGCACGAAAGCGUGGGGAUCAAACAGG